AUGUCCCCAUGCCAUGAGGGACAUGGGGGUAGUCAAUAGCCCAAUGUCCCUUUUGGUGGCAC
rnacentral:pre_miRNA from 1 species